rnacentral:rRNA from 1 species
AUGGCGCACGGGCAGGAGUCUUCGACGCAGGCCGCCGCCGGUGGCGCCGCGCCACUGUGCGCGAACGGCUGCGGGUUCUACGGGAGCGAGGCGAGCAAGAACAUGUGCUCAAAGUGCUACCGCGACCACCUCAAGGCCGGAGAUGUGGCUGCCCCUGCCGUUGAGGGGAAGCUCACGUUCGACGACCUCAUCCUCGCUUUCAAGAAGUCGAUGAGCCUGCAUGACUCUACCGCGGCACCGGCGGCGGAGGCGGCAGCGAAGAAGUCGGCGCCAAACAGGUGCAUGGCGUGCAAGAAGAAGGUCGGGCUGCUGGGAUUCGCGUGCCGCUGCGGUGGCACCUUCUGCUCGCUGCACCGCUACGUGGACGGGCACGCAUGCAGUUUCGACUACAAGAAGGUCGGCCGGGAGCAGAUCGCGUAG